CAUACAAAUAGGGGGCGCGCGACAAAGCUGCAUUGACUCAAUUUCGAAAUUAUCAAGGUGAGCCAUUUGUCUGUAUUGGGUGGCCGAAACCGCGCUGAUGUGUGCCGGCGCAUUCUGAAGCAUUGCAUGUCAAAUGAGGUGGCCAACCAGUACAGCUGGCAUGGGAGGAAGAAAAAGGCAGUAUUUGGAAAACUUUCUAUUGGCUGAUGCUGUGCAGAAAGCUGUCAUGCGGUCCUUGAAAUGCACAGCUGCAGAAGUUGAACAUGAGUGCAGGGAAUGGUUUAGAACAGCCUCUGACCGUGACGGUGGAAGAAAAAAGAGGACAGCCAAAAUAAGUGAUGAACCGUCCCAAUGAAUUUUAACUCGUGUGUGUUUUAACUUUUAAUUUAGUCUCCUGCUGCAAUUUGUUAUGAUGUAAAGGUCUCUUUGAACUUGAAAUUAAUGAUUUUACACAACUUUUCUUUUAAUAUGUAUACUGAUGGAAGCAGUGUAUAUUUUUUUUGUUUUUUUUUUUGCCUUUAUUACCUAAAUAGCUGUAACUCUGUGUGUUACUUAGGUAAACGUAACUUUUCAAUAUAUUCUUGUUCUAAUUGUUUCAUUUGUCAUUUUUGAAGAAAACAAGUUUCAUGUAGUUUGUAUUAAUAUUGAAGACAAUUUUCUUGUAAUAUUUUUUAUUCAAAACUUUCUAGAAAUGCCCAUAAUUUAUGUCUAAGUUCAGGGGACAUACAAGGUGUUUAUUUCUGAAAAUACUCAAUUAUAAAAAUCAAUUCCCUCAAUUCAUUUUGAAUUUGAUAAGUGACAGAACUCAAUUAUUUUUAUUUUCAAGUGAUCAUUUCCUGGUGAAAACAACAAAUAAUUUUAAUAUAUGUUAGUUUAAGGUAUUUAUAACCAUAUGUAAAUAAGUCCCAGUAAACUACUCAAUUAUAUAUCAUUCAGCAAUAUAUUGCUCUGUCCUACUGCAAUGUAUUCAUUAACAAAUACUGGCUGCUUUAUACUGCAUAUCAUUAUUAGUUCUCUUUAAAGGAAUGGUCUGACUUAAUGGCUUUUUUUUCAGUAUUUUGGGGAUGUGAUCCCAUUCCAUGAAAUUGGGAAAUGUUGUGUCAAUAUAUAUAUUUACAUGCAAUUCAGAAAAAGUACAACUGAUAACUACAAGUCUUAUUCCACAUUUCAUAGCUAGUAUUUACCAUUUAAGACUAUUCAACAAUGAGGAAUUGCUUGACUUGAUUUAGGGGGAAAAAAUGUGUUCUGCCAUUGACAACAUGGCCCAUUACCUUAAAUUGAGAUUUCUAGUCACUUGUACAUUUACAUUUUGUGCCAUUACUAUGUUUUGUUUUUUUUGCUGGAUAGCAAUUUCCUGAAUUUACUUGUUACAAUUUUUGUGUAUUGUAUGACUGCUAUGUUGUAUUUUGCUGACUAGUCUUGUUACUAUUUUUUGUGUAUCAUAUGACUACAUUGUUGUAUUUUGCUGACUAGUCUUACUUGUUACUAUUUAUUGUGUAUCGUAUGACUACUAUGUUGUAUUUUGCUGACUAGUCUUAUUUGUUACUAUGUUUUGUGUAUCGUAUGACUACUAUGUUGUACUUUGCUGACUAGUCUUACUUGUUACUAUUUUUUUGUGUAAGGUAUGACUACUUUGUUGUAUUUUGCUGACUAGUCUUAUUUGUUCUUAUUUUGUGUGUAUCUUAUGACUACUAUGUUGUAUUUUGCUAACUAGUCUUAAUUGUUACUAUUUUAUGGGUAUCAUACGCUAUCCAUUUUAAAGAAAGGGUUAUUUUAUUAAUUGCCAGGGUAUAUAGACCAGUUUUGAUAAUAUGGGUGAUAUGAACCAUUUAUACAUGCAUGUUUGGUAAUUUUCCAUGUAUACAAUAUGCGUGUUGGAUACGUUGGUUUUCUUCAUAAUUCUCUUAUUUUAUUUUCAUUUGCUGAAUAUUCUAUUACCAAAAUACAAAACUCAAGUCAUUUGGUCAUUUAACAUUUUGUUUCAAUGUGUUACUUUUUCAGUUUCUGUACCUGUAGAAUUAUAGAGUCUGUUUAAAUAAUUUCUUUUACAUUUGUUGUUAGUCAAUGUAUAUAUUAAUUAAUUUUACCCCAUUAGAAUAAAAAUGUUGGAAUUAGUAAUAAAUAAGUUUAAUAUUUUCAGUUUCAAGACAGUAGUAUAAUUAGCAAAUACUGUAUUCCAGUUUGGUUGAAAAGAAUGUAAAAAUAAAAUGUUGUCUGAAGAAAAUGUUCUUUCAUUUAUUUAAGAAACUGUUUUAGGCCCUUAACACUACCAACAACAAUUAAAAACAAUUGAGGCUAGACAGGGACUGAGGAAUGGUUAAAAGUAUGUCGGCACCAUGCUGGCUCAAGAAGGUAUCGCCGAUAUACAUACCAAUGUCGGGCCAACAUCGAGCCGUGUUGCACUCCCGAUCUCGGGCCGAUAUACAUACCAAUGUCGGGCCAACAUCGAGCCGUGUUGCACUCCCGAUCUCGGGCCGAUGUAAUUACCGAUGUCGGGCCGAUAUACAUACCGAUGUCGGGCCAACAUUGCGCCGUGUUGCACUCCCGUUGUCGGGCCGAUGUAAUUACCGAUGUCGGGCCGAUAUUGAAAUAAAUAUCGGGCCGACAUCGGACCGAUUUAAAAUGUUUGCUGGGUU